rnacentral:rRNA from 1 species
AUUGAACGCUGGCGGCAGGCCUAACACAUGCAAGUCGAGCGGUAGAGAGGUGCUUGCACCUCUUGAGAGCGGCGGACGGGUGAGUAAUGCCUAGGAAUCUGCCUGGUAGUGGGGGAUAACGUUCGGAAACGGACGCUAAUACCGCAUACGUCCUACGGGAGAAAGCAGGGGACCUUCGGGCCUUGCGCUAUCAGAUGAGCCUAGGUCGGAUUAGCUAGUUGGUGAGGUAAUGGCUCACCAAGGCGACGAUCCGUAACUGGUCUGAGAGGAUGAUCAGUCACACUGGAACUGAGACACGGUCCAGACUCCUACGGGAGGCAGCAGUGGGGAAUAUUGGACAAUGGGCGAAAGCCUGAUCCAGCCAUGCCGCGUGUGUGAGGAAGGUCUUCGGAUUGUAAAGCACUUUAAGUUGGGAGGAAGGGUACUUACCUAAUACGUGAGUAUUUUGACGUUACCGACAGAAUAAGCAGCUACAAACUAUGUGCCAGCCGCCGCGGUAAGAC